rnacentral:rRNA from 1 species
UACGUAGGGGGCAAGCGUUGUCCGGAAUUAUUGGGCGUAAAGAGCGUGUAGGCGGCCUGACAGGUCUGCUGUGAAAACUCGAGGCUCAACCUCGAGAUGUCGGCGGAAACCGUCUGGCUAGAGUCCGGAAGAGGAGAGUGGAAUUCCUGGUGUAGCGGUGAAAUGCGCAGAUAUCAGGAGGAACACCGAUGGCGAAGGCAGGUCUCUGGGCCACUACUGACGCUGAGAAGCGAAAGCAUGGGGAGCGAACAGG